UCCGAGUUGUCCCCGGCAGUCUCUUUAGAGUCCCCAACUUAAUGCUGGCAACACACCACGGGGGUUGCGCUCGUUGCGGGACUUAACCCAACAUCUCACGACACGAGCUGACGACAGCCAUGCAGCAUCUGUGUGGCACCCUCGAAGGUCACACGUUUCCGUGCGCUUGCAGCCACAUGUCAAGCCCAGGUAAGGUUUUUCGCGUUGCAUCGAAUUAAAGAACAUGCUCCGCUGCUUGUGCGGGCCCCCGUCAAUUCUUUUGAGUUUUAGCCUUGCGGCCGUACUCCCCAGGCGGAACACUUAACGCGUUGGCUUCGGCACAGUGGGAUUCGACUCCCCCCACACCUAGUGUUCAUCGUUUACGGCAUGGACUAC
rnacentral:misc_RNA from 1 species